UCAUGUCGAGUUGGGCCACCGCAGUUUAGUACCACCACUACUCUUUUUCUUUCGUCAUUCCCCUGGUAACCUUCUCCUUCCCUGAAGCAUUCUCAGUAGCCCUUCGCGUUCUUCUUCUUCCUUAUGCAAGCUACACUCGUGCUUCUCAUUCACCCUCUUUUUCUACCUGCUGCUCUUUUAAGGGUCUUGAAGGGGACAAGUUUCAACUAGAGAUUUUGUAUGCAGUCACCGAUUUUGGAGUCUCCGACUUGUAGGGUAUCGUUAUCAGAAUGGCCUGCCAAGUUUCGAUGAUGAAUUUUUGAAGCAUGGUUAAAAGAGAAAUUCAGUGCGUUGAUUAUUUUGCAGAGAUUUUAUUUAAAGCUGAAAAGUGCAAGAAUGAUGGCACUUUUUGCGAGCCUAGGAUUAAUGUUUCAGUCUGCCUCAAGAUGCUUUCGUGUGAUUGCCUCUUACAGAAGCUUGUCAUUUUCAAGUAAUGGACCUUGCAAUCAGGAUGGUGGAUCAGCUUCUUUUGGAAAUGGGGUUAACCAAGAAUAUUUGGGAAAAUCAGAGGGUAUAUGGCAAGAAGCGGACAGAGUGUGCCUGAUCCUGGAGAGUGGAUCUUGGGGGCCUUCAGUUGAAAAUGCUUUAUCUACGUAUGAUGAAAAACGUCAUUCAGAACUAGUUAUUGGAGUCUUAAGGAGGCUGAAAGAUGUUCAACAAGCACUAAACUAUUUUCGGUGGGUUGAGAAGAAAACUGACGAAGCGCAUUGUCCUGAGGCAUACAAUAUGCUUCUCAUGGUAAUCGUGAAGAGUAAGAGGUUUGAUCAUGUGGAACAAAUUUUGGAAGAGAUGGGUCUUGCUGGGUAUGGCCCAUCCAACAGUACCUGUAUUCAGCUAAUAGAUAGCUAUGUCAAGACUCGAAAAUUAAGGGGAGCAUUUGAUUGUAUUCAGACAAUGAGGAAGUUAAAGUUUCGCCCUGCAUUUUCAGCUUACACUACCCUAAUUGGUGCCCUAUGUACUGUUAAUGAACCUGAUCUUAUGCGGGCACUCUUUCUUCAGAUGCAAGAAUUAGGUUAUGAAGUGAGUGUUCAUUUAUUUACAACUCUUAUACGAGUAUUUGCCAGGGAAGGUCGAGUUGAUGCUGCUCUCUCGCUUUUGGAGGAGAUGAAAAGCAACUCAUUGGAUGCAGACAUUGUUCUCUAUAAUGUGUGUAUAAACUGCUUUGGCAAGGUGGGUAAGGUGGAUAUGGCUUGGAAGUUUUUUCAUGAGAUGCAAGCUAAUGGAUUCGUACCUGAUGAAGUUACAUAUACGAGUAUGAUUGGUGUUCUCUGCAAGGGUAACAGACUGGAUGAAGCUGUGCACCUGUUUGAACAGAUGGAGCAGAAUAGGGCAGUCCCAUGCGCAUAUGCUUAUAGCACUAUGAUCAUGGGAUAUGGAUCUGCUGGAAAGUUUGAUGAAGCAUAUAGGUUACUUGAAAGGCAAAGGUUAAAGGGAUCCAUACCAAGUGUAAUUUCAUACAAUUCUCUUCUAACCUGCCUUGGGAAGAAGGGAAAAGUUGAUGACGCAUUAAGGAUCUUUGAGGAGAUGAAAAAAGAUGCAGCACCUAAUCGCACAACUUAUAAUAUCAUCAUUGACAUGCUUUGCAGGGAAGGACAGUACAUGGCUGCUUUAGACGUUCGAGAUGCCAUGAAAUUUUCAGGCUUGUUUCCCAAUGUAUUGACUGUAAAUAUAAUGAUUGACCGUUUGUGUAAGGCUCAGAAACUUGAUGAAGCUUGUUUUAUUUUUGAAGAAAUGGACCACAAACUUUGUAUGCCAGAUACAAGGACAUUUUGCUCUCUUAUAGAUGGCUUGGGUAGGCAUGGCAGGGUAGAUGAUGCAUACAGGUUAUAUGAGCAGAUGUUAGAUUCUGAUCGGGCUCCUGAUGCUGUUGUUUAUACAUCCUUGAUUAAGAACUUUUUCAGGUCUGGAAGGAAGGAAGAUGGGCACAAGAUUUACAAAGAAAUGGUUUCUAGAGGUGUUGCCCCUGAUCUUUUGCUCCUUAACACCUAUAUGGAUUGUGUAUUCAAAGCUGGUGAGACAGAGAAAGGCAGAGCUUUGUUUCAGGAAAUUAAGAAUCUGGGUUUUACUCCAGAUGUGCGGAGUUAUUCUAUUCUGAUUCAUGGUCUUAUAAAAGCAGGCUUUGCAUGCGAAACAUACGAGUUAUUUUAUACAAUGAAGGAAAGAGGGUGUAUUCUUGACACCCUUGCUUAUAACACGGUAAUUGAUGGAUUCUGUAAAUCAGGAAAGGUCAAUAAAGCUUAUCAACUGCUGGAGGAAAUGAAGGUGAAGGGUCAUGAACCUACUGUUGUCACUUAUGGUAGUGUUAUUGAUGGGCUUGCAAAGAUUGACAGGCUUGAUGAAGCUUACAUGCUUUUUGAAGAAGCAAAAUCCACAGGUGUGGAGUUAAAUGUGGUGGUUUACAGUAGCCUUGUAGAUGGGUUCGGGAAGGUGGGUAGAAUUGAUGAAGCAUAUCUGAUUAUGGAAGAAUUGAUGCAAAAAGGCUUGACGCCGAACACUUAUACUUGGAACUGCUUGAUUGAUGCUCUCGUGAAGGCUGAAGAAGUAGAUGAAGCUCUUGUCUGCUUUAAUUCGAUGAAAAACUUGAAUUGCAGUCCAGACUCAAUAACUUACAGCAUUCUCAUAAAUGGGCUUUGUAGGGUGCAAAAAUUCAAUAAAGCCUUUGUUUUUUGGCAGGAAAUGCAGAAGCAAGGUCUAAAACCCAAACUGAUUACUUAUACCACUAUGAUAUCUGGGCUUGCAAAGGCCGGAAAUAUACUAGAAGCUGAUAAACUCUUUGAAAGGUUCAAGGCAAAUGGAGGUGUACCUGAUUCAGCCUGUUAUAAUACUAUGAUAGAAGGGUUAAGCAUUUCAAAUAGGGCAUUGGAAGCUUACCAACUAUUUGAAGAGACUAGGUUAAGAGGUUGCAACAUAUACACAAAAACAUGUAUUGUUCUUAUGGACUCUCUGCAUAAGGCUGAAUGUCUUGAGCAGGCAGCAAUCGUGGGUGUUAUUCUGCGGGAAACAGCAAAGGCACAGCAUGCAUCUAGAUCAUUGUAACAAUGGAUUGGUUACUGUUAUUAGCGACUGAUCACAAUCUGAUGUGUAGUUUUUAUGUGUUUAUUUCUUUGAAUAGGUCAAUUUUCAUUACUGUAAACAAGGCUACAAAAGUGUGGAGUUAGUGGAGCAAAUGCCCCAAAAAGAUCAAACUGCCAUAUUCACAGCUGGAAGGAGCAAAAGAGAAGGAACAGAAGUGAAUCAAAGAACUGAGCAUAUUGAGGUCCUCGAGCAUGGAAGUCAGUAUCAGGUACUUGACAACACCUUGGCUUUCAAGUCCACAUUUCCAUGUGACUUUUGUGAACUUCCUCAGGAGGUCCCUUGUUUAAUUACAAAAGCUGAAGUUUUGUUUCCUUGAAGACAUCUAAUUUGCAAUCUGAUUGUCAGAUUUCACUUUUGUUUCUUAAUUGUUUUCCAAUAAAUCUUAAUAUGGGGCCAUGAUAGAAAAUUAUUUACAGUUUUCCAUGGACACAAUGUUGACUAAUAGGUGGUUGAGGGAGUAGUCAUGUUCUUUGCUCCUGAGUAAUCACAGCAUUCUGGGUGUAUCCUCUUGUUGUCAAUGGCCAAAGUACUCUUAAGAAAACAUAGGUAAGCUUUCAUUCUUUUCCUUCAAGUAAAUCGUGUUGCUUGUUCUUGAUUGCACUGUCAUAUUGAAUUUUGCAUUUCAAUGGAUAAAUUUGAAUGUGAGAAACAUUUGUUUAGUGUGUCCUGAGAGGAGAGCAAGGAAAAGAAUAGAUGCCAACAUUUGUACCUUUUUUUUUUGUAAUGUAUACUUUGAAGAGAUCUAAUUAAUUGCGUUUUUGUGUGUGACAGAUUUUCAAAGACAUUGACAGGUAAUGAGAAACUUUGUGCGGUAUCUACUGAAAACUUUAUGCCAAGAAUCACUUAAAAGACUCGAUGAGUAAUUAUAAUUUGAAAGAAGAAUACUACAGUCUAGACAGUGGGGAAUUGACAUCUGCUCUUCAAUAAAGUUUGCUCAAGUUUGACAGGAAAAGGGAUGGUUGUUUCAGUAUUACAAAAAAUUAACAAGUAAUAUUGUGAAGGUUUUGCUUAUAAAAUUAUGAAGUCAUGGUAGUGAAUGAUUGGAUGCUUGUGAAAGCCAAUUAGAUGUAGAGUUUUCUAAGUUGCAAUAAGAUUGUUUAUGCUUUAUCAGAUACUUUGGUAAGUUUGAAGGUAAGGUCAGAAGCAGAUGACUCUGUCAAAUGGAGAUGAGAGACUACUGAAUUUAUGACUGUUCAAGAUCUGUGUGGUCUUGUCAAAGCAUUUAUAUAUCAACAGCUUAGGAGGAAAGUCUUUAAAAAUGUAGUAUAAAGUGGGAAUGGGGUUGCAAAAGGAUAGUCGUCUCUCAUGUGCCACUCAUGCAUCUUAUUUUUUUUGGCAUUUCUUACCAAAUAACGUGUUUCCAGAUUUUUAGGUAUUUGGUGAGAAUUUACUGGGUUCUGGCCUCAAGACAUCAAAAUCUGUCUCACUCUCUCCUCCCAAAAAUCAGUCGCAUCAUUUUCUUCUCUUCUUCUUCAGUUCUUCUUCUUCCUAAUUUCUUUUACCCCCUUGAAUCUGAUCUUCUUCUAACCAAUCUACCUAAUCAACAAACGAAAAAGUUUUUUCCUAGAGAUACUUGUACCUGCUCCGACUCUCUCUUGAAGAACAGAGGAAAAGCUGCUUAAGCUGAAUUAGGAAGAUGACUAAUCCAUCUCCAUCAUCCGAUCUGAAUAAUUUGUAAAUACAAUCACGUUUUUUCUUUCCCAGAUUUUUCCUUGACUUUAAGCACUCAAGCCAUUAUUGAUACAUGUCAGAAGGUUUCUUCACGCGAUUUCUGGUGAAAAGAUCAUAUUGGCCCUUGUGCAAUACAGCACAAUAUUACUUCAUUCCAUGAGUUUGUUCCCGACUUGUUUGUAGGAUUUAGAGUUUGCACCCUUUUUAGCAUGGUAAAUGUUUAAUGCAUUUUAAGGUGGUUUUACUCCCUAGCUGUAUUUUGCAUGGUUAAACAAAUAUAUUCCAAAAUAGGUUGGAAUUAUGAGGAGUCAACUCAAUAACUGCAUCGUUGAUCUUCUUUAAUUUGUUCCAAUUUGAAUUUGCUAAAGGAAUAGUGAAAGCUAAUAGGAUUGUUUAAAUGUACACCUUGUUUCUGGCAAAGGAAAGAUAAAUGAAGAAACUGUUUUAUGCUUUUUUCCUUAACCGUCUCUUCAGUUUAGUUUAACAGGUUUUCUUUGGUUGUAUGUAAUGUUACUUGCUUACUUUAUCUUGUAUUUAGUGUUUUAUUUCUUUUCUGUUGCUCUUGUUUUUGCCUCAGCACAGAGAACUGGCAAGGAAGGUAUGAUACUUGAAGCUGAUAAGAUGACUUUGAGUUUGAUUGUAAUAUAAAGUGGAAUAUGGUUGUCCUCUUGGGUGUCACUCAUGUGACUUCAUAGGAUAUACAAAUGAGAUUGAGAGGAAGAUGGUACUUGCAGUGUAAUCUACUGCACAAAUUAGACUUGAAGUUGUAGCUGGAUAGAGAUCAAUUGAGAAAUUUUACAAUUCAAAUUAUACAGCAAGAGAAAUUAAUGCUAAUUAUGAAUGUCAGUUGUGUUAAAAGCUGGUGCUGGAGUUUAAAAAAUUAAUCAAUUUGUUAAGUUCCAAGGAUUGAAGAUAAGUAGCAGCAGACAUGAUCAUAAUAAGGGAAUUUGUGAUAUAUAAGCUUUGGAAAGAACACAGAACAGAAGGAUGAACCCCACCUAUUAUGUUUUGGAUGAAUUUUUAAUCCAUUAUUAUAAAUAUUAACUCUGAAAUUGAUCUCUUUAGACAAAUUGAAUGCCUGUUAAUUUUAUUUAGCUAUUCUAUUUUCUAGUUUGCUAUCUUUUUAGUUGCA